rnacentral:lncRNA from 1 species
CUCAAUUAUCAAUCAACUCAAUGUUGAAGAAUAAAAUUAAAAAAUUAAAAAAUAUAAUAAAAAACAAUCUCUAUCAACUCUAGUUAACCUUCCAAAUAACUCAAUGUCGAAUGAUGAAAAUAAAAAAAAAAUCAAUGAAAAAAAUGAUUCGCGUCAACUCAGGUUAACCCGCCAAACUUAUGAUUCGAUUCAUGAGACAGAGAUAAAUUCAUAA